rnacentral:rRNA from 1 species
UACAGAGGUUGCAAGCGUUAAUCGGAUUUACUGGGCGUAAAGCGUGUGUAGGUGGUUGUACAAGUCGGUUGUGAAAUCCCUGGGCUCAACCUGGGAACUGCUUCCGAGACUGUACGACUCGAGAUCGGUAGAGGGCGGUGGAAUUUCCGGUGUAGCGGUGAAAUGCGUAGAUAUCGGAAGGAACACCAAUGGCGAAGGCAACCUCCUGGGCCUGUUCUGACGCUGAGGCACGAAAGCGUGGGUAGCAAACAGG